UGAGAACCAGAGUUCCAAAGCCAGCAC
rnacentral:piRNA from 1 species